rnacentral:misc_RNA from 1 species
AACUUCCACCUGGCUUACCUCCUCAUUUAUGCGUCAUGACUUGUAUCGUCUUGAGCGUAUUGUGGGUUUCCUGUGUUGCAUACCUUUCUAAUGGUAUCGUGUUGAUUGAUCAAAGUCCCUUUUCAUCUUGUGUUGCUUUUUGUGACGCAUGAUGAACCUUGAGGCGGUCUCUAUGUUCCACCACGUUGAUGCUAGCGUUUUGAUGUUGUGGCCCAUUGAGCGUUGCUUGGUUUCAUGGAUACAGAACAUGAUUUGGGCAUAGGGUUACUUGUGACUCUUGUUUUGUCCUUUAUCAGUGUUCUUUAUAACGACGGUUCAUGUGCGCCUAGGCUCGUACCUGCGCGAUGUUCUUUGUCGAAGAGGAAUGCUACCUGGUUGAUCCUGCCAGUA